GAAAUAAUAAUAACCGACAAGUGAGAACGCGCAGAUAUAAACGAUGCAACGUUUUCAAAAGGGCUUCCAAAGCGCGGCUGUGUCUUAACUCUAGCUUUAACUCCUUAGGGUGACCCAACGCUUUCUGCUUCUUAAAAGACAGUUUGGCAGGAAGGAGUUGCAAGCCUCAGUUCCUUUGGGGAAGAUUUCAUCAGAAGAAUUUUGUUAUAACUUGAUUAAGUGCAACUAAUUAAUGAAUAAAACAUCUAAAGGAAGAAGUACCAGCUAUUUGAGUCUGAGGAUGAGUGAAUAUAGAAAGCAGAACUUACUAUCUUAUUUGGUGAGAUUGCAACAGUUACAAAUUCUAUUACUAUAUGGUCACAGUCCUGGUAAAAAGUUACUUUCUACGCCAAGAUGUUUUUCAGCACUGCUAUCUGGAGCUGAAAACCCCUAUUCCCCUUUCAUUUCUCAAUAUAUAUAUAUUUUUUGUAUGUA